rnacentral:rRNA from 1 species
UACGGAGGGUGCGAGCGUUGUCCGGAAUCACUGGGCGUAAAGGGCGCGUAGGCGGCCUGAUAAGUAGGGGGUGAAAUCCUGCGGCUUAACCGCAGGGCUGCCUUCUAAACUGUCAGGCUAGAGCACAGUAGAGGCAGGUGGAAUUCCCGGUGUAGCGGUGGAAUGCGUAGAGAUCGGGAAGAACAUCAGUGGCGAAGGCGACGUGCUGGGUUGCACCUGACGCUGAGAUGCGAAAGUGUGGGGGAGCAAAACGGGG